CCUGCACUCCCAGCUCUUCCCAUUCAGUGACCAGCACUGAACACAGACUCACCAUGGAGUUGGGGCUGAGCUGGGUUUUCCUUGCUGCUGUUUUAAGAGGUAUCCAGUGUCAGGAGCAGCUGGCAGAGUCUGGAGGAGGCUUGGUGAAGCCUUGGGGAAGCCUGAAACUCUCCUGUGCUGCCUCUGGUUUCACAUUCAGUAACUGGAUGAGUUGGAUCUGCCAAACUCCAGGGAAGGGGCUAGAGCGGGUGGGACAAAUUAACCCUAAUGGAGGUAGCACAUACUACCCAGACUCCAUGAAGGGCCGAUUCACCAUCUCAAGAGACAAUUCCAAGAACACUUUGUCCCUGCAAAUGAGCAGUCUGAGAUCUGAGGACACAGCCACAUAUUACUGUGCAAGGAACACAGUGAGGGGACUUCAGUGUAAACCCAGACACAAACCUCCCUCCAGGGUGUUCAGGACCAACAGGGGGUGCCCAGAACACAUAGUGCUCAGAGUCAGGACAGGAUUAGAUGCAGAUAUGAUUGAGUUCUGGGCUCUACUGACUGCAUUGCUUCCAAGUUUGAUGGAUUCCAUGGGAUCCUCUCUACAUUAUGGUCUGUAA